GAAGUCGUGGCCUAGUGGUAAGGCGCUCGCACUACGUCCGGGCUUGCCCGUACAGCGCACACGACGGCAACGUCGUGGUGUUGAGGUUUGAGGUAGGAAACGGGGGGACUGCGAGACACCUCUGUUCGAAUCAGAGCGAGUUCA